rnacentral:rRNA from 1 species
AUUGAACGCUGGCGGCAUGCCUUACACAUGCAAGUCGAACGGCAGCAUGAUCUAGCUUGCUAGAUUGAUGGCGAGUGGCGAACGGGUGAGUAAUACAUCGGAACGUGCCCUGUAGUGGGGGAUAACUAGUCGAAAGAUUAGCUAAUACCGCAUACGACCUGAGGGUGAAAGUGGGGGACCGCAAGGCCUCAUGCUAUAGGAGCGGCCGAUGUCUGAUUAGCUAGUUGGUGAGGUAAAGGCUCACCAAGGCGACGAUCAGUAGCUGGUCUGAGAGGACGAUCAGCAACACUGGGACGGAGACACGGCCCAGACUCCUACGGGAGGCAGCAGUGGGGAAUUUUGGACAAUGGGGGCAACCCUGAUCCAGCAAUGCCGCGUGUGUGAAGAAGGCCUUCGGGUUGUAAAGCACUUUUGUCCGGAAAGAAAUCGCACUUACUAAUAUUAGGUGUGGAUGACGGUACCGGAAGAAUAAGGACCGGCUAACUACGUGCCAGCCGCCGCAGUAAGAC